AUGCACAUCACUGGGGAGCUUGUUAAAAUGCAGAUUCUGAUUCUGUAGUUCUGGUGGUGGGGCUGGAGAGUCUGCAUUUCUAACAAGUUUUCAGUUGGUAUUGCA
rnacentral:pre_miRNA from 1 species